rnacentral:piRNA from 1 species
AUGUCACUGUUGGAGCCCUCAGA